AUGCGCUUGUUUCGCGCUUUUCACAAUAACACCCUGGAUGUGGAACGUCUGAACUAUGGGGUGAUAACCUUGAUACCUAAGACCAAUGGUGCUAAGAAAAUACAACAGUACCGCCCCAUUUGCCUACUUAGAUGUCCUUAUAAGCUAAUUACUAAAGUAAUGGACAAUAGAGCAGCCAUCUUUGCUGAUAAACUUAUUAGCAGACACCAAAAUGCUUUCAUCAAACAUAGAAAUAUCAUGGAUGGGAUCCUCACUCUCCAUGAGAUCUUGCACCACACACACCAUAAGAAGAAAGUUGGGGUAGUCCUGAAGUUGGACUUUGAGAAGGCAUAUGACAAAAUUAAUUGGGAUUUUCUCCUUGAGUGUCAUAGUAACAGAGGUUUUGGUGAAACCUGGUGUGGUUGGGUGAAGAAGAUACUAACUAAUGGCACAGUCAGCAUUAAGUUGAAUAAUGUGACUGGGCCUUACUUUCAAAGCCACAAGGGAGUGCGCCAGGGCGACCCUCACUCCCCUUUUUUAUUUAACCUUGCGGUGGAAACCUUGUCUAAGAUGAUUCGCAAUGCUCAAAAGGAAAAGAUGAUAACUGGGUUGGCCCCAGAUCUCAUUGAAAAUGGCGUUGCUAUUCUGCAAUACGCCGAUGACACGGUUAUUUGUUUUGAACAUGAUGAACAAGCCGCUGUCAACCUGAAACUUCUCUUAUAUAUCUUUGAACUUAUGUCUGGCUUAAAGAUUAACUUCCUUAAGAGUGAAAUCCUGUGUGUGUGUGGAGACAACAACAUCCUGGCAACUUAUGCGAACAUCUUUAAUUUUCAAACUGGUCACUUCCCAAUGAAAUACUUGGGGGUCCCUGUGAGCUACUCAACUUUGCGCAACCUGGACUGGAACUUUGUUGAUGAUAAAUUCCUUAAGUGUUGUGAAACCUGGAUUGGUAACGCUGCAUCCUCGGGGGGAAGACUCAUUCUCCUGAACUCCUCCCUGUCCAGUAUUGUGUACUACUACAUGGCAAUGUUCCUACUCCCUAAGAUGGUGAUCUACAAACUG
rnacentral:rRNA from 1 species